rnacentral:rRNA from 1 species
AAGGGUAAAAUCGAUUUGUUAAAUCUAAUAGUUUGAAACAUUUUGAAGCUGUAAAGUUUAGAAUAUAAACUAGGAUUAGAUACCCUAUUAUAUCUAAAUUUAAAUUUUAAUACUUGAAUAUUAAUAGUUAUUUUCUUUAAAAGCAUAGAAUUUGGCGGUAGUUUAGUCUAGUUAGAGGAACCUGUUUCAUAAACGAUAAACCACGAAACUUCUUACUCAGGUUUGUAUACCGUCAUUAGUAGAUAAUUUUAUAAGAAUGAAUUAUUGGAAUAUAUGAAUAAUAGUAUAUUAGAUCAAGGUGCAGCUUAUAAUUGAGUGAAAAUGGGUUACAAUAUAAUUAUAUAUACGGAUUACUUUGUAUGAAGGCGGAUUUAAUAGUAAUUUAUUUUAAUAAGGUAGAUUGAUAAUAGCGCUGAAUUAUGUACAUAUCGCCCGUCGCUCUU